rnacentral:snRNA from 1 species
GGAUGUGAGGUGGUCUGGCUGUGACAGCUGUCACCCCAUUGAUCUCCAGGGUUGAUCCAGCUGAUCUGGCUGGCUCGGCAGGUGUCCCUUUCUUCCCUCCAGGCUCCAUGUGCGUCCCUCCUCAAGCUGUAUGCUCAGUCAAUGAGGACAAUAAGGACGACCACCCCCAAUGGGGGAGGCUGUUCCUCAGUCAAGGGUGUACAGGCAGCUGCACUCCCUGCUAGGACCUCCAGGUAAGCUCUCAAGGAAAUACACAGCGAAGUCCCUAGGGGUAAAAGAGUACGAUGCCUACGAUUCAUCUCAAAUGGUUGAGCGAAACUAUGUGCUGACAUCUUUG